rnacentral:lncRNA from 1 species
UAUGAACCAAACCAGAGUUCCAGUACCCAUUGCUCCAAGUUUCAUCGUGGAGAGUAAAAAACAAAACAAACAAACAAAUAAAAAAAACUUCGAGCAUAAUCCUGGUACACAACUGAUCAACUGACAUUCAGUCUCAGGGAACAGCCUGGGAGGACCUUGGAGCUGGAACCUGUGGUGGCCGCCUGCCUCUUGUAAUGAAAGACAAUCCUGGCUCACCAAACCUCAGAUUGAUCAGCAUGGCUGGAGAAAUCCUGAGGCUUCAAUAUCUCCUAUCUUCAACGUGGCUGGAGAAUGAAUCCUUGAUAGUGACUACUGAAGACCUUGCUCCUGUCUUAUACACCUCCCUAAUGCUGGUUCUAAAGAUUGGUGCCUAAUCUAAUAGUCAUCGGAGUUCAUCCAGCCACUGACACCUGCAGAGACCUAUAGUCAAACAUUAGGCCAAGUUCUGGUAAUCCUGCUGAAGAGAAGGAGGAAGGAUUGUACAAGCCAGAAGGGUCAAGGACAUCACAAGAAAACCUACAGAAUUAACUGAGCUCAUAGGAGCUCACAGAGACUGAACUGACAACUAGGAAGCCUGCAUUGGACUGACUCUGCAUAGGACUGACUCUGCAUAUAUGUUACAGUUGGUCUUCUUGGGAGACUCCUAACAAUGGGAGCAGGGGCUGUCUCUGACUCUUUUGUGUGCUUUUGGAACCCUAUUCUUCAUACUGAGUUGCCUUUCCCAGCCUUAAUAAAAGGGAAGGUGCUCAGUCUAACUGCAACUUGAGAUACCAUGUUUGUUGAUAUCCAUGGGAGGCCUGCC